rnacentral:rRNA from 1 species
AUCAACGCUGGCGGCGCGCCUAACACAUGCAAGUCGCACGAGAAAGCGGGAGCAAUCUCGCAAGUACAGUGGCGUACGGGUGAGUAACACGUGGAUCAUCUGCCCUGGAGUGGGGAAUAACGCUGGGAAACCGGCGCUAAUAUACCGCAUAUUCCCGAGAGGGGAAAGCAAGCAAUGCGCUCGAGGAGGAGUCCGCGGCCGAUUAGCUAGUUGGCAGGGUAAAAGCCUACCAAGGCUGUGAUCGGUAGCCGGCCUGAGAGGGCACACGGCCCACACUGGCACUGAAACACGGGCCAGACUCCUACGGGAGGCAGCAGUGGGGAAUCUUGCACAAUGGGGGAAACCCUGAUGCAGCGACGGCCGCGUGAGCGAUGAAGCCCUUCGGGGUGUAAAGCUCUUUCGGCAGGGAAGAUUAUGACGGUACCUGCAGAAGCAGCUGCGGCUAACUACGUGCCAGCAGCCGCGGUAAUACGUAGGCAGCAAGCGUUGUUCGGAGUUACUGGGCGUAAAGGGUGUGUAGGCGGCCUGUUAAGUUCCGUGUGAAAUCUCCCCGGCUCAACCGGGAGGGUGCGCGGAAAACUGGCGGGCUAGAGUGCGGGGAUGGGAGAGUAGAAUUCCUGGUGUAGCGGUGAAAUGCGUAGAUAUCAGGAGGAAUACCGGUGGUGUAGACGGCUCUCUGGACCGCAACUGACGCUGAAACACGAAAGGCGUGGGUAGCAAAACAGGAUUAGAUACCCUGGUAGUCCACGCCCUAAACGAUGCAUAUUUGGUGUAGGUCAUUCAGUUGAUCUGUGCCGGAGCUAACGCGUUUAAAUAUGCCGCCUGGGGAGUACAGUCGCAAGGCUGAAACUCAAAGGAAUUGACGGGGGCCCGCACAAGCGGUGGAGCAUGUGGUUCAAUUCGACGCAACGCGAAAGAACCUUACCUGGGCUCGAACGGCUGGUCAACGACCGUGGAAACACGGUUACUCCGCAAGGGGGUCCAGUCGAGGUGCUGCAUGGCUGUCGUCAGCUCGUGUCGUGAGAUGUUGGGUUAAGUCCCGCAACGAGCGCAACCCUUGUCCUGUGUUGCCAUCAUUCAGUUGGGAACUCGCAGGAGACCGCCAGCGAUAAGCUGGAGGAAGGUGGGGAUGACGUCAAGUCCUCAUGGCCUUUAUGUCCAGGGCUACACACGUGCUACAAUGGCCGGUACAAAUCGACGCUAAGUCGCAAGACGGAGGCCAAUCGCAAAAAAAACCGGUCUCAGUUCGGAUUGCAGGCUGCAACUCGCCUGCAUGAAGCUGGAAUCGCUAGUAAUGGCAUAUCAGAACGAUGCCGUGAAUACGUUUCCCGGGCCUUGUACACACCGCCCGUCACAUCACGAAAGUGGAUUGUACUAGAAGUCCGCACGCUGACCCGCAAGGGGAGCAGCGGCCCAAGGUAUGAUUCAUGAUUGGGGUG